rnacentral:lncRNA from 1 species
GUUUUCUGAAAAUUCUUAAAUGAGAUAAUAAUGUUAAAUAAAUAAGAUUUAUAGUAGGUCUACUAAGAGGAAUUUUCAAUGAAAUAUUGAACUUCUUAAGGAAUCUCUAAUUAUUUUUGAAUGCUUCAACAAAAUUCUGAUGAAUCAAUUUUACAUAAUGAAGAUGUCUUAACUUACACAGUUUUACUCAUUCCAUCAGCUCCUCUUUUUUUAGAGAUGGAAAAUGAUGCAAACAGGUUUUAAAUGUGUAGUACAUUUAGUGCCAUAGAAUUUUUCAUAAAUUAGUGUUGAAGACAAAUAGACCAUUCAAAAAAUCUUUUAAGUUGCUCAAUUAAGUAAUGCAUAAUACAUUUUCUUUUCCACGACAAGUUUUGAUUUAAAAAUAUUGAAAG